rnacentral:rRNA from 1 species
GACGGAGGGUGCAAGCGUUGUUCGGAAUUACUGGGCGUAAAGGGCGUGUAGGCAGUUGUCUUAGUCAGGCGUGAAAGCCCCGGGCUUAACCCGGGAACAGCGCUUGAAACGGGACGACUAGAGGACUGGAGAGGAAAGUGGAAUUCCUAGUGUAGAGGUGAAAUUCGUAGAUAUUAGGAGGAACACCAGUGGCGAAAGCGGCUUUCUGGACAGUACCUGACGCUGAGGCGCGAAAGCGUGGGGAGCAAACAGG